rnacentral:rRNA from 1 species
CCAAUAGCGUAUAUUAAAGUUGUUGCAGUUAAAAAGCUCGUAGUUGAAUUUCGGGAUCAAUAUGUUGGUCGUGCCAUUGGUACGUACUGGCAUUAUUGGUUUCUACCUUCUGAAGAACCUCGAUGUCAUUAAUUUGGUGUCUUGGGGAAUCAGGACUGUUACUUUGAAAAAAUUAGAGUGUUUAAAGCAAGCUCGCGCUUGAAUACAUUAGCAUGGAAUAAUGAAAUAGGACGUUCGAUUCUAUUUUGUUGGUUUCUAGGAUCGACGUAAUGAUUAAUAGGGAUAGUUGGGGGCAUUAGUAUUCAAUUGUCAGAGGUGAAAUUCUUGGAUUUAUUGAAGACUAACUACUGCGAAAGCAUUUGCCAAGGAUGUUUUCAUUAAUCAAGAACGAAAGUUAGGGGAUCGAAGACGAUCAGAUACCGUCGUAGUCUUAACCAUAAACUAUGCCGACUAGGGAUCGGAUGAUGUUAAUUUUUUAAUGACUCAUUCGGCGCCUUAC